CGGUUGCUUAAGUUCGGUGUGAAAUCUCCCGGCUCAACUGGGAGGGUGCGCCGAAUACUGAGUGACUAGAGUGCGGGAGAGGAAAGUGGAAUUCCUGGUGUAGCGGUGAAAUGCGUAGAUAUCAGGAGGAACACCGGUGGUGUAGACGGCUUUCUGGACCGUAACUGACGCUGAGACACGAAAGCGUGGGUAGCAAACAGGAUUAGAUACCCUGGUAGUCCACGCCCUAAACGAUGCAUAUUUGGUGUGGGCAGUUCAUUCUGUCUGUGCCGGAGCUAACGCGUUAAAUAUGCCGCCUGGGGAGUACAGUCGCAAGGCUGAAACUCAAAGGAAUUGACGGGGGCCCGCACAAGCGGUGGAGCAUGUGGUUCAAUUCGACGCAACGCGAAGAACCUUACCUGGGCUCGAACGGCUGGUCAACGCCGGUGGAAACAUCGGUACCCCGCAAGGGGGUCCAGUCGAGGUGCUGCAUGGCUGUCGUCAGCUCGUGUCGUGAGAUGUUGGGUUAAGUCCCGCAACGAGCGCAACCCUUGUCCUGUGUUGCCAUGCCGAAAGGCGGAACUCGCAGGAGACCGCCAGGGAUAACCUGGAGGAAGGUGGGGAUGACGUCAAGUCCUCAUGGCCUUUAUGUCCAGGGCUACACACGUGCUACAAUGGACGGUACAAUGCGUCGCUAACCUGCGAGGGGGAGCCAAUCGCAAAAAACCGUUCUCAGUUCGGAUUGCAGGCUGCAACCCGCCUGCAUGAAGCUGGAAU
rnacentral:rRNA from 1 species